UAUUGCUAGUCUUGGAUUCAAAAUCUGGACGGCAAACGAAAUUUAUUAUGGCAAAGGCACCGUUCUGGAUGAUGUCACAGAUGCCAGAUGGUCAGUACUUUUUGGAGGAAAGCCAGAUAACUAUGAGGAUAAGACAAACUACUUCAUUCUAGCCACUGACUACGUCAAUUACGCCAUUGUCUAUUCAUGUAUUCAACCUGCCAAGCUGCCAAUAAUAUCAGAAAGCUGUUUCAUUCUACUUCGCCGUAAUGGUAGCCCACCGGCCGAGGUUUCGACCCACAAGUUCAUUUUGAAAAGCUACGGAGUGAACGUGACAAACCUGAACAAGGUCAACAACUACAACUGCUAUUAGUUCCCUUAGAGCAGGCACCUCCAGAGAUGGCUGUCUAAAACGAUAUGCAGAAGUUUGUUUCAUUAGUUGAUUAUUAUUUAGUCUCAUUUUUUGUGUGCCUACAAUUCCUACUGUCAUCUAGCAAUCUCUACGUGGCUGGCUAGGCGAAAGGAAAAGUUUAUUAUAUCUUUGGGGGGAAAACACACGCUAAUUAACAAUUCAAUGAGAACACAGGCUUGGCUGUUAUAGUUUUUAGUCAUUUUCAUAUUCAUUUGGCCUACGUCUUUUUAUCAAUCCAAUUGUUCCAAAUGACUUUUUCCUAGAAAUUUGAAAGUUGAUGCAUAUCAUUAUGAAAGAAUAACUAGCUCGUUGGUCACACUGAGAGUACUGUAGUUUGACCGUUUCAAUUUUUUAAAGUAAUAAAAGAAAUCCAUUUAAAUUUGACUAGAGAAUUAGAAAAUAAUAUCUUGAACGGACUAGAAGUUUUCGGGUAUUUCCGCCUUCAUUCAAGAGUUCAAUACAUUGAUGUUCAGGAACAUUUCAAAGCUGUUCUUGUUUGACAAGUUAAGUCAGAUAACUUCAGCGCGAAUUAAAAAAAAAAUAUAUAUAUAAUAAAAAUGCUAACCACCAUCAGCUCCAUCAAGUAGCAAUUUGUAGUAGUUGUUGUUUUUAGUUUUUAUUACUUCUUUACUAUAAUUUCUUUUUUUGGUUAAUUUUUUUUACUCAUUACAUCUUUUUAAUUUUCAACUUCACAAUAAAUAUUGGACAAAGGUAUUUUCUAAACAAGGCAUAUGAAAUUAAAAUAAAUCAAAUACAAACUA
rnacentral:sRNA from 1 species